ensembl:lncRNA
UCUCUGUAAUACCAUUUCAAGCCAAUAGAGGUCACUGCAGACAGCUGGCACACUGAAACAAUCCUAGGAGCUAGAAACACAAGCAUUUUGCUGCACCUGCUGUAACAUCUGCUAAUCUGCGUACCCGACCAAGACACUUUGACAACCCGGUCCUAGGUCGUGACUCAGAGUUCCAGUCUGAGAGACAGGAGGAGAGGUGUAGAUGAAGUAAUCCAUCAGGACAACGUCAGAGGUGUUGUGUCGUGGUGAUGCUGCAGACAGAGGAGAGCCGAAAAGAAGGGCCCCAGGGCAGGGUUUGAGUAUGUGUUGUUAGGGAGGGGUUUCAUACUGUACCGACCGACAACGGUAUUAUGUGGCAACCAGUGGUGUAAAGUACUUUAGUAAAAAUACUUGAAAGUACUACUUAAGUAGGUUUUCGGGGUAUCUGUACUUUACUCUACUAUUUAUAUAUUUUACAAGUUUUACUUCACUACAUUCCUAAAGAAAAUCAUCUACUUUUUACGUCAUACAUUUUCCCUGACACCCAAAAGUACUCGUUACAUUUGGAAUGCUUAGCAGGACAGGAAAAUGGUAUAAUUCACACACUUAUCAAGAGAACAUCCCUGGUUAUCUCUACUGCCCCUGUUCUGGCGGACUCACUAAACACAUGCUUCAUUUGUAAAUGAUGUCUGAAUGUUGGAGUGUGCCCCUGG